AAGCUCUGAAGUCUCACACAAUUAAUUUGGCAGAGAGGAAAAUAUGAAAGAAUCAUAUCCGAUGAAUAGUGGAGAUGGCACUUACAGCUACACGAAGAACUCCACCUAUCAGAUAAGUAGAUUACACGCUUCAUAUACAUACAUACAUAUAUAUAUGUAUAUGUAUAUGUAUAUCACCAUCUGGGUAUUUGGAUGUCUUAUUGACCCCAAUAAAUAUAAUUCUCUCAGUUACUUGUAAGGGAAAACAUCUAUAUGACAGUUUGCCUUUUAGAAUUUUAAAAUUUUAAAACAGAUAAUGCUAAACCCAAUACAUUGGUGGCUGAAGUAUAAAUCUUGAAUUUUAGGUUUUUUUUUCCCUUUAGAAUUUUCUUAAUUUUGUUGUCCAUUUUGAGUCUGCAAUAUUAUAUGAGUCUCAUUUUGAGCUAAAUAAAUGUUGUCAAACAGAUAUUCAAUAUUAUAUGAGUCUCAUUCUGAGCUAAAAUCACAAACAUGGAACAGUGGAAGAAUUUACUACACAAGUGCCUCGGAGGAAGUAACAAAUGCUUAUGCAGCUCAGUUUACAAAGGACAUGAAGAUGUUUCUGAAUGCCAUAGCAAAAGAGAUUGUGGCUGGAGUUUAAAAAGGACAGGAUAAUGGUAGUGCUCAUGCCUGGUCUGAUAUUUGAUUUCCUUGGGUCUACGCUUAUGGAUAUGGUGAAUGAGGUAAGUCAAUAAUGAUCAGCUUUUCAAAUUGAAGCCCAAAAAAUCUAUAAUGCACUUAUAGGGAUUAGUGAGUGCAAAAGAAGGGCUAAUCUCUAAUUUUCCCUUAUAUUUUUUAUUGUCUAGCUUGGAGUUAGAGAAUUCAGAAAGUGAUAGUUCAACUAAUACUGACCUUUCUAUUCAGACAAUUGUGUUUUUGUUUGGAAUUUAAUUUGUAUGUACAAGGUGGUAAGAGAAAAAGCUUUCCAAUUCUCACUUUAAUCAUAGACAAUUACUAAAUAGAUGUAAUGGUAUUAUCCGACUAAAAAAGAAAAAUAAAAUAAAAUAAAAUAAAUGUCCCGCCUAUGGAAUUCUUCCCAAAUCUCAAUCUCUCAAUAUAAGUAACUUUUUUUUUUGGGUGAGUCUUAGUACGCAACUCCCAAUGAAUGGACAAUUUCGUUGAAAAUUCAAAUGAUACCAAAUCAACAAUGCAUUUUCAUUUCUCAACUUUGGCCCUACAAAUUGACAAAAUGGUACUACAAUCAUCAAUGGUACACGGCACAUGGAGCCGCCAAUGCAGACAACAUAUACCGAGUAUAUAGUUCAGCAUUAUUGUGGACCCCGCGUUCAUACCAAAGUCAAAAGUGUGUAAAUAUUAUACAUCUACUAUCUAUUAUGUGUGUGUGUCUAUAUUUUAUAUAUAUAUAUAUAUAUAUAUAUAUAUAUAUAUAAUAUAGUAGAGAGUUCUGAAAUCUCGCACAAUUAAUUUGGCGGGGAGGGAAAGCAGAGCAACAAGGAAGCAGUCGCAAUGACAGAAUCAUAUCCGAUGAUUGGUGGAGAUGGCACUUAUAGCUACACCAAGAACUCCACCUAUCAGGGGUAACUUUAUUGACGAAAGUUAGUUGAAAGGGAGCUUGAACAUUGAGUUUUCUAAUAUAUUUUUGGGACAAAAAUGACCUUGUACCUAUUUUAUAUAUAUCUCACAUAUAGAUCUACUAUAUUAUCACUCUUAGCCACAUAUAGUCAACCAUUGCUGCGCGUACACUUCUUCUUUAUCAGGUUCUUUUGUUUACCCUUGAGAUAUAUAUAUAUAUAUAUAUAUAUAUAUAUAUAUAUAUAUAUAUAUAUAUAUGUUAUCAUUAUAAUAUUAUACAUAUUAUGUACCAGUAAUUAUUAUUAACACUAUAUUGGUAUUUACAACCAACCGUCAGACCCAUAUGAAUAUGGGGUUUUCCUCGAAUUUUAUCUACAAUUUUUUUUUUAGAAUUAUAUUGUGCAUUCAUUUUUAUGAUUUUUAUUGAUUUUAUACUGAUGUUGGACAAUUUUAGUAGAUUUUAUAUUAUUUUUUUAUUCUUUUUAUUUUUUAUUUUUUUAUUUUUAUUUUUUAUUUCUUUUAGGGAGUUUAAUUUUAAGUUUUUAAUUUCCUUCUACCAUUAGUUUCAUUAUAUUUUUAGUUUACAUAAGCAAUUAGUUUCCUUUAAGGUAUUAUGGUUUCUCUAUUAUAAAUAUUCACGUACUUGUACUGCAAGAGCAUAAUUUAACUUUUUAUCAAUAAUAUUUCAGAAUUUUUUAUGAAUUUAUCUCUUGUUUUAUGGAUUCAAAACACCUACUUUAUGGAUCCAAAGUAACCCAACCCUUGUGAAUGUCUAAUGGCUUCCGCCACAUCAAUUGGUAUCAGAGCCUUGUCGUACCUUGGUUGGAUGGUGGUUGAUCGUUUUGGCAGCAACAGGUUUUGGUAGCAACAGCUCUAGCGACGUUGAUCGGGGAGUGCACGCCCCUUGGGUAGCAUGCAUACUCAAGAUUGGUUUGUACCAAUAGGUUUUGGGAUUGGUGGCAAUCAGGUUCGUGGUUCAGUUUGUGUCCGCGCUGAUGAUGUGUCUCGCAACCAACCGAGUAUGAGUUAUGUUCGUGUUUAUCCACGUAGAUCUCCAGCCUAUGUGGAUUCUUUCGAUGAUGAGAAGUUCAGAUUUAGAGGAGUUGUGGUUAAUCAAACUAUAGAUAUCUAGACAAUUGUAAGUUUAAAAAAAAUUCGAAUUAUUUAUUUUACUUCGAGUUUUUGUGUUGAGGAUUUCUUAGAUUGGCUUAAUGAAGUUGAUUACGUCUUUCGAGUAUUUUGAUAUACCUGAACAGAAGCAAGUUCCUCUGUUAGCAAUCAUGCUUAAGAAAUAUGCUUCAGCUUGGUGGGAACAGGGAAAAACUAAUCGGAGGUAGCAAGGAAAACAACUUGUACAAUCAUGGUCAAAGUUGGCAAGGUUGUUGAUUGCUAAUUUUUUACCACCAAAUUAUGAGCCGAAGUUGUAUCGACAA